CAAGGAUCAGCGUGUUCAGAUCAUGGAUGGAAAGAUUUUAAGGCAAAGAUGUCACCCAGAAAUGUUUUUCCACUCCAGGCCUCCAGUCCGUCCAUCAUCAGUUCUUAAAAUUGUUUCUGUAAAGUGCAGUGGUCCAGUGAACAGGAAUGUUAUGUCGUUGAUCCUCGCUGUUCGUAGGAAGGAGAAAUGUUAGUUUGUCUGCAGUAAUACUGGAAUACUGACAUUGUUUGUCUGAAUGAAAAAAAUAAAAUAA